UAAAGGUUUGGUCCUAGCCUUCCCAUUAGCUACUAACAAGAUUACACAUGUAAGUCUCCGCGCUCCAGUGAAAAUGCCCUUUGGAUCUUAAAGCAAUUUGAAGGAGCGGGCAUCAAGCACACCUCUCCCUGGUAGCU
rnacentral:rRNA from 1 species